rnacentral:lncRNA from 1 species
CCGGGUCUUUUGGUAACGAAGUCAAGGACGUUAAUGUAUUGCUAAUGGCCAAAGAGUUGCUCAGCAACUUGGAUAAGUUGCUUGAAAUGGAUGGAAAGUAGUUUAGGUAGUGAGAUGAAAGGUUAGAAUCAAGAAAACCGUUUUGGCAUGUUUGUUGAUUCGCAAUAGAAGCACUUUGCCAUGUUAACCUGUCGUUUAGAUUGUUUGAGCUCAUUGAACGGUUGAGCUGAUAGAUUGUAUUCUCAUAGAGUUCCAAACAAUCUUCCCAUGCGGACUUGGCUCUCUUGUCUUUGAAAUCGUUGGAUUCCAUGGUUGAUGAGACAAGUUUGUGUGCUACUAUUGCUUGGUCCAUGGUGACCUUAAGGGCCAUGUCAUGGAAGGAAUAAUAAGAAGAGGAAACAUCACUUGAUGAUGAUGAAAUUGAAUAAUUGGUAGUGCCAAUGUAAUGGUUACAAAGAGUGGGAUAUGGAGUUUGAUUGCAUGAUAACUUAUCAGUGCCAUGCACAAUAAUGAAGAGAGAAUAAAAGGCUAAAAUAAUGUACGCAAUGACCAAGUUGCCCAUUCUGAAAAUGAAAUGACCAAUAGGUUCUAUUUGUAUAAUAAUAAGGCAACCUAGAUAGGUAGCAAUGAGAGAAUUAUAUUCUUAGCUUGUAUAUAUUUGGAUUAUUGUUGAAUGCUGAUGAAUGAAAAGUGCCAAUGAAGAUGUGCUAUUUAUAGGCCAAAAAGGUAUGGGUAAUUCUUAUUUGUGAGUGAUACAAUACAGUUGAGGUAUUAAUAAUGUGGGUUUUGUAUUUUCUAAAGUUGUUGACUAACCUAUUUAAGGGCAAUGUGGAUUAAGUUCUAUCUACGUGUCAAUUAAAAUUAAUAAAAAAAAGAGUAUAGUAGUUCAUAUGGAAAAUAAUAAAAAUUAAAUAAAGUAUGGUUUAAUUUGGUUUUUCAAAACCUAAUUGUCUGGUAUAAUUAAGGACCAAUAUUUAAAAAUGUAUUCUAUAUUCAUAUGAUAUUUUUAUUUAUAACUAAAAUGUGGCACUUAUUGGACGUUAAUGUAUUGCUAAUGGCCAAAGAGUUGCUCAGCAACUUGGAUAAGUUGCUUGAAAUGGAUGGAAAGUAGUUUAGGUAGUGAGAUGAAAGGUUAGAAUCAAGAAAACCGUUUUGGCAUGUUUGUUGAUUCGCAAUAGAAGCACUUUGCCAUGUUAACCUGUCGUUUAGAUUGUUUGAGUUCAUUGAACGGUUGAGCUGAUAGAUUGUAUUCUCAU